AAAUUGAAGAGUUUGAUCAUGGCUCAGAUUGAACGCUGGCGGCAGGCCUAACACAUGCAAGUCGAACGGUAACAGGAAGCAGCUUGCUGCUUUGCUGACGAGUGGCGGACGGGUGAGUAAUGUCUGGGAAACUGCCUGAUGGAGGGGGAUAACUACUGGAAACGGUGGCUAAUACCGCAUAACGUCGCAAGACCAAAGAGGGGGACCUUCGGGCCUCUUGCCAUCAGAUGUGCCCAGAUGGGAUUAGCUAGUUGGUGAGGUAACGGCUCACCAAGGCGACGAUCCCUAGCUGGUCUGAGAGGAUGACCAGCCACACUGGAACUGAGACACGGUCCAGACUCCUACGGGAGGCAGCAGUGGGGAAUAUUGCACAAUGGGCGCAAGCCUGAUGCAGCCAUGCCGCGUGUAUGAAGAAGGCCUUAGGGUUGUAAAGUACUUUCAGCGGGGAGGAAGGUGUUGUGGUUAAUAACCGCAGCAAUUGACGUUACCCGCAGAAGAAGCACCGGCUAACUCCGUGCCAGCAGCCGCGGUAAUACGGAGGGUGCAAGCGUUAAUCGGAAUUACUGGGCGUAAAGCGCACGCAGGCGGUCUGUCAAGUCGGAUGUGAAAUCCCCGGGCUCAACCUGGGAACUGCAUUCGAAACUGGCAGGCUUGAGUCUUGUAGAGGGGGGUAGAAUUCCAGGUGUAGCGGUGAAAUGCGUAGAGAUCUGGAGGAAUACCGGUGGCGAAGGCGGCCCCCUGGACAAAGACUGACGCUCAGGUGCGAAAGCGUGGGGAGCAAACAGGAUUAGAUACCCUGGUAGUCCACGCCGUAAACGAUGUCUACUUGGAGGUUGUGCCCUUGAGGCGUGGCUUCCGGAGCUAACGCGUUAAGUAGACCGCCUGGGGAGUACGGCCGCAAGGUUAAAACUCAAAUGAAUUGACGGGGGCCCGCACAAGCGGUGGAGCAUGUGGUUUAAUUCGAUGCAACGCGAAGAACCUUACCUGGUCUUGACAUCCACAGAACUUUCCAGAGAUGGAUUGGUGCCUUCGGGAACUGUGAGACAGGUGCUGCAUGGCUGUCGUCAGCU
rnacentral:rRNA from 1 species